ensembl:lncRNA
GAGAGAGAGUGGGGUAGAGGACAGGUUGAGAGACGAUAGUGGGUUAGAGGACAGGUUGACAGAGAGAGAGAGUGGGUUAGAGGACAGGUUGAGAGACGAUAGUGUGGGUUAGAGGACAGACUGUGAGACAGAGAGAGUGGGUUAGAGGACAGACUGUGAGACAGAGAGAGUGGGUUAGAGGACAGGUUGAGAUACCAUAGUGGGUUAGCGGACAGGUUGACAGAGAGAGAGAGUGUGUUAGGGGACAGGUUGAGAGACGAUAGUGUGUUAGAAGACGGGUUGAGAGAGAGUGGGUUAGAGGACAGACUGUGAGACAGAGAGAGUGGGUUAGAGGACAGGUUGAGAGAGAGAGAGAGUGGGUUAGAGGACAGGUUGAGAGACGAUACUGGGUUAGAGGACAGGUUGAGAGAGAGAGUGGGUUAGAGGACAGGUUGAGAGAGAG